GCUGGUUAUGGUGGCUCAUGCCUGUAAUCCCAGCUACUUGGGAGGCUGAAGCAGGAGGAUCACAAGUUUGAGGCCAGCCUCAGCCACUUAGUAAGACCCUGUUUCAA
rnacentral:sRNA from 1 species